UACUGUUUAUAUCACACUGAGAUGAUAAA
rnacentral:piRNA from 1 species